rnacentral:rRNA from 1 species
GACGAACGCUGGCGGCGUGCUUAACACAUGCAAGUCGAACGGAAAGGCCCUGCUUUUGUGGGGUGCUCGAGUGGCGAACGGGUGAGUCACACGUGAGUAACCUGCCCUUGAUUUUGGGAAAACUUCAGGAAACUGGGGCUAAUACCGGAUAGGAGCUCCUGCUGCAUGGUGGGGGUUGGAAAGUUUCGGCGGAUGGGGAUGGACUCGCGGCUUAUCAGGUUGUUGGUGGGGUGGUGGUUUACCAAGGCUUUGACGGAUAGCCGGCCUGGGAGGGUGACCGGCCACAGUGGGACUGAGACACGGCCCAGACGCCGAGGGGAGGCAGCAGUGGGGAAUGUAGGACUGUGGGCGGAAGCCUGAUGCAGCAACGCCGCGUGCGGGAUGGCGGCCUUCGGUUUGUAAACCGCUUUCGCCUUUGACGAAGCGGGAGUGACGGUAAUGGGUAAAGAAGCACCGGCUAACUACGUG